GUCAAUCACCUCAUGCUAAAGCUGUGAGGCUUGUUCCGUGAGGAGCAAGGGCAACUGGUUGAUUAGGAGGCAUUGAAAAAUAUGAAAAUGCAGACGUUAGAAAAGAGAAAUACAUGCACACCACCGAAUGCUUCACAAGUUCGGUGCAACUGUG
rnacentral:sRNA from 1 species